rnacentral:rRNA from 1 species
UACGGGGGGGGCAAGCGUUGUUCGGAAUUACUGGGCGUAAAGGGCUCGUAGGCGGCCAACUAAGUCAGAUGUGAAAUCCCUCGGCUUAACCGGGGAACUGCGUCUGAUACUGGAUGGCUUGAGUUUGGGAGAGGGAUGCGGAAUUCCAGGUGUAGCGGUGAAAUGCGUAGAUAUCUGGAGGAAUACCGGUGGCGAAGGCGGCAUCCUGGACCGGCAUUGACGCUGAGUGAGCGAAAGCCAGGGGAGCAAACGGG